UGGGGAAUUUUGGACAAUGGGCGAAAGCCUGAUCCAGCAAUGCCGCGUGUGUGAAGAAGGCCUUCGGGUUGUAAAGCACUUUUGUCCGGAAAGAAAUCCUUGGCUCUAAUACAGUCGGGGGAUGACGGUACCGGAAGAAUAAGCACCGGCUAACUACGUGCCAGCAGCCGCGGUAAUACGUAGGGUGCAAGCGUUAAUCGGAAUUACUGGGCGUAAAGCGUGCGCAGGCGGUUUGCUAAGACCGAUGUGAAAUCCCCGGGCUCAACCUGGGAACUGCAUUGGUGACUGGCAGGCUAGAGUAUGGCAGAGGGGGGUAGAAUUCCACGUGUAGCAGUGAAAUGCGUAGAGAUGUGGAGGAAUACCGAUGGCGAAGGCAGCCCCCUGGGCCAAUACUGACGCUCAUGCACGAAAGCGUGGGGAGCAAACAGGAUUAGAUACCCUGGUAGUCCACGCCCUAAACGAUGUCAGCUAGUUGUUGGGGAUUCAUUCCUUAGUAACGUAGCUAACGCGUGAAGUUGACCGCCUGGGGAGUACGGUCGCAAGAUUAAAACUUAAAUGAAUUGACGGGGUCAUAGCUGUUUUUCU
rnacentral:rRNA from 1 species